GAAUGUGAGGGCAAUCUGGCUGUCAAAUCUUUCACCCCAUUGUUGAUUGCCAGGCUGGAUUCUGGUGAUCUGCAUGGCUUUCGCCCACACCGUUCCAUGGGUAGCCCUCCUGAAGCUGCACAUUCAAGGAGGGCAGCAUUCCCUCAGAGAGGAAGGUCAUUCUUCAGUCAAAGGCACCCUAGUGGUUGUGCCCCUGCUGUAACCUCCAAGCAAGCUCCCAAGAACAGGGCUUGCCACUCCUUAAAAAUUAAUAAUUUUGCAACAUCAUUAACUAUGCAGAGUUCAAAUCUAUCUU
rnacentral:snRNA from 1 species